rnacentral:rRNA from 1 species
AUUGAACGCUGGCGGCAUGCCUUACACAUGCAAGUCGAACGGCAGCGGACCUUCGGGUGCCGGCGAGUGGCGAACGGGUGAGUAAUAUAUCGGAACGUACCUUUCAGUGGGGGAUAACGUAGCGAAAGUUACGCUAAUACCGCAUAUUCUGUGAGCAGGAAAGCAGGGGAUCGCAAGACCUUGCGCUGAUUGAGCGGCCGAUAUCAGAUUAGCUAGUUGGUGAGGUAAAGGCUCACCAAGGCGACGAUCUGUAGCGGGUCUGAGAGGAUGAUCCGCCACACUGGAACUGAGACACAGUCCAGACUCCUACGGGAGGCAGCAGUGGGGAAUUUUGGACAAUGGGCGCAAGCCUGAUCCAGCCAUGCCGCGUGAGUGAAGAAGGCC